CUCUCCCACAAUUAAAUUUACUUCUUCCAAACAAAGACAAACGGCUUGAACCAGUCAAGUAAGUGAUACGGCACCACUAGAUGUUCCAGAGCCUCCAUCUUUUUUAAUACGAAGAAGAUUUGUCCUUUGUGUGUAUGAAUUUAACAAGUUUUAAUUAUAGAUUUGUGUGUGUAUGAAUUUAAAAACCUAGUACGUAGCAUCAGGGAAUGAUAUCAU